GGGGAAUAUUGCACAAUGGGGGGAACCCUGAUGCAGCGACGCCGCGUGGAGGAAGAAGGUCUUCGGAUUGUAAACUCCUGUUGUUGAGGAAGAUAAUGACGGUACUCAACAAGGAAGUGACGGCUAACUACGUGCCAGCAGCCGCGGUAAAACGUAGGUCACAAGCGUUGUCCGGAAUUACUGGGUGUAAAGGGAGCGCAGGCGGGAAGACAAGUUGGAAGUGAAAUCUAUGGGCUCAACCCAUAAACUGCUUUCAAAACUGUUUUUCUUGAGUAGUGCAGAGGUAGGCGGAAUUCCCGGUGUAGCGGUGGAAUGCGUAGAUAUCGGGAGGAACACCAGUGGCGAAGGCGGCCUACUGGGCACCAACUGACGCUGAGGCUCGAAAGUGUGGGUAGCAAACAGGAUUAGAUACCCUGGUAGUCCACACCGUAAACGAUGAUUACUAGGUGUUGGAGGAUUGACCCCUUCAGUGCCGCAGUUAACACAAUAAGUAAUCCACCUGGGGAGUACGACCGCAAGGUUGAAACUCAAAGGAAUUGACGGGGGCCCGCACAAGCAGUGGAGUAUGUGGUUUAAUUCGACGCAACGCGAAGAACCUUACCAAGUCUUGACAUCCCUUGACGAACAUAGAAAUAUGUUUUCUCUUCGGAGCAAGGAGACAGGUGGUGCAUGGUUGUCGUCAGCUCGUGUCGUGAGAUGUUGGGUUAAGUCCCGCAACGAGCGCAACCCUUACUGUCAGUUACUACGCAAGAGGACUCUGGCAGGACUGCCGUUGACAAAACGGAGGAAGGUGGGGAUGACGUCAAAUCAUCAUGCCCUUUAUGACUUGGGCUACACACGUACUACAAUGGCGUUAAACAAAGAGAAGCAAGACCGCGAGGUGGAGCAAAACUCAGAAACAACGUCCCAGUUCGGACUGCAGGCUGCAACUCGCCUGCACGAAGUCGGAAUUGCUAGUAAUCGUGGAUCAGCAUGCCACGGUGAAUACGUUCCCG
rnacentral:rRNA from 1 species